rnacentral:tRNA from 1 species
AUCGCCGGAAACCCCGUCCGGGGGAGCUAAAGGGGUGCCGGGCCUGCUUUUUUAAAGGUGGGCCGGUAGCUCAGCCUGGUAUGAGCGCCGCCCUUGCAAGGCGGAGGCCCCGGGUUCAAAUCCCGGCCGGUCCACCACGAAGAGAUGCACGUCCCGAGCCCAGCUCGGGGCGGAAGGGCCCAAGGCCCCCGAAUAGGGGGCGACGAUGAGGGCCGUGCAUAGGCGGGUGGCCCAAGAAGUGCCUGGCCCCUCCGGUAGAGG